AGCACAGUGUGCAGCUACUAUGCACUCUUAAAUUGUAGCCAUGGCACCAUGCCUGAGCAUGAGGAGAUCUCCCUGGGCAUUGCUACUCAUUGUCUGCAACUUUGCUUCCUGCUGGCUGCUCGUUCAGAUGAUCCAGAUCGUGGUGUUGGAGCAAUAAUCUACAACAAGAAGCAGUAUAUUGUUGGAGCUGGCUAUAAUGGGUACAUCAAGAAGGCAACAUAUGGAAACUUCCCUCGCCAUGGGCGA